UGGGGAAUAUUGCACAAUGGGGGAAACCCUGAUGCAGCGACGCCGCGUGAAGGAAGAAGUAUCUCGGUAUGUAAACUUCUAUCAGCAGGGAAGAAAAAUGACGGUACCUGACUAAGAAGCCCCGGCUAACUACGUGCCAGCAGCCGCGGUAAUACGUAGGGAGCGAGCGUUGUCCGGAAUUACUGGGUGUAAAGGGAGCGCAGGCGGGAUUGCAAGUCAGAUGUGAAAUGUAUGGGCUCAACCCAUAACGUGCAUUUGAAACUGUAGUUCUUGAGUGAAGUAGAGGUAAGCGGAAUUCCUAGUGUAGCGGUGAAAUGCGUAGAUAUUAGGAGGAACAUCGGUGGCGAAGGCGGCUUACAGGGCUUUAACUGACGCUGAGGCUCGAAAGCGUGGGAGCAAACAGGAUUAGAUACCCUGGUA
rnacentral:rRNA from 1 species